GUAAACCUAAAGGUUAAUGAUGGGAAAACCGAGGCUUAGAGUCUACUGAAGUCAUGGCUAGAAUGCAGCAAAUUGAUGCUCAAACUUGAUUUUGCCUGACUUCUCACUCAAGCAAGCUAUUGAGAUGUAUGUACUCUUGGUUUCAUGCAGUGCCACAUCAAGUUGUAACAGCAACAAAGACAAAGUGCUUAUGAUUGGGUUUGAACUUGUGUGACAUUGAAGCUCUGUGUAUACAUGGCUACUGAAUUGUAUGAAAAACCAUUUCUGUCGUAGGUCAGUGAUGUGUCCUGGAACACUGUAAGACGGAGAGAACAUACAGAAGACAGAGCUUCCUAUUUGGAGGUGGAAUGAAGGUAAACAGGAUUAAGUUGUUUUUCAGGUUCUGGAAUCAUCUUGCAAGAAAGAGGAGACAAGUCCAAGUCACCGUGAUGGUACAAGACAAACACAGCUCAACCGGGGCAGGCUUAAAGGAUGUGGACACUAAGUGCUAUCCAUCAGCAGUUAGAAACGUUGAGGACAUAGAGACGGAGAAGUGAAAUUGCUGGCUUCAUGUCUGGUGCUCAGUGUCUGGUGAGGAACAUCUUUACCAGUGGAUUCUGUCCCUCGCUGAAACGCCUCCCAGUAUCUCAUUAGGUGUUGUUUUAAGUUGGGGCUGACCACAGGAAAAAUUCAGAGAUUUGGAAGGUGGACAUAGAGGCAUUCGCCCCUUUAAAGGGUUACAGGCUCUUACCAUGUGGGCCAGGCUGACCUCAAACUCAUGCUGAUCAUUCUGCCUUAGCCUCUCAACUUCUGGGAUUAUAGGCACGAGUCACAGUGCCUAGCUACAGCAGCCGGUUCUAUGUCCCUAAGAUUGGGCCAGGGAAAGGCCAGACAUACCUGUCAUUCUCCUGUGUGUUGCUCUGUGGCCGGGGUUGCCAGCCUUUCCUGUCACACUGUGCUUUAAAUGAUGUGAGAGAAAAGUGUAGGGCUGAGGUUUGCAUUUGGAGGCCGCCAUUUAUACCUCCUUCCCAGCUUCCUGCCCAGGUGAGUGCAAAGGCAAUGGCUUUGCCUAUGCCCUCCCUCCCUUCCCCAAGUCUAUAUCUUAACACAACAUCCUAUUUAUAGAGUUCCUGCAUCUUGCUUCUAACAUGGACUGAUAUUCUGACUCUAUAACUGGAUGGCUAUAUGACGAUAGAUGCUGGAUGGACAACUGGGAAUAUUACAACUAUUAUUGUUUGGGGAGCUUCUGUGUUCUUGCAAGUGCUUGCUCUCAUUUUGGUUUUGGGCUCCAGGAAAAGCAAAUAGUAGUGGAGGCUGCUGAAAUUAAAAUGAUGCCGAAGAAAUGAAAUAUGGCUGCUUAUCUUUUCUUUCCUGAAAUUGCCUUGAUGUGCAUCCGUGUGAGUCAAUGCAGUCACCACCUGUCUCUUAUGCGAACCCUUGAAAAGUGAAGAUGGGGUCAUCCUGCUCUUUCCCCUCUGUUUUUAUGCGUUAAUGGGG
rnacentral:lncRNA from 1 species